rnacentral:lncRNA from 13 species
UUUGCUCAAGGCCCUCUGUGGCUGGCAGGAAUCCUAGGGGAUAUGUGUGGAGGGGUUGCUGUGUUUCUGUAGACAGUGGCUCUCACUCUCCCUGUAGCCUGGUCCCUGGACUAAAGUGGGCCCAGGACAGAAGUGCUGGACAGCUGGCAUAGGGGUCACUUGUCUUGUCACAUUGUCCUCUCUGGCCCAACAGUCUUGACCUGCUCCUCACACUCCAGUCAGACCCAGCUUGUUCUCUGUGUCAGGACUGCCUGGUUCCUUUCCUUCUGGUCUUUGCAUAGUUCAGGCAGACUCUGAGAGGGCGUCUCACUUACAUGCUGGCAACUGCUGGCCUCAGCUUCAGAUUAAGGCAACUGGGUAAGAGGCUGUAUCUCAAAUUUUGUUACAUUGUUUCCACAUUUUCAGAAGCUACUGGGAUUGUUUUGAGGGCUGAAUAUUAACCAAGUCUUUAAGGCCAUUCCAGACAUAGAACAGUCACUCUUAACUGUGACAUUAGACAUUAUCACCUUCCACAGGCCCCAGCACAACUCCAGGCCUACGGCAGGUGCUGCUGACCUAGCGUGUGAUCCACAGGUUUAUUGGAGGGCCUGACAAGGCAGGCUUGAUAUUCAUUCUGAUGUCUUGUAUUGAAGAGCAGUAGGACUGGUGUUGGUAUACAGGGAGAAAAAAAAUUGGAUUCAUGAGAACAGAAAUAGGCCCUACAGAUGGAGGAGGGAGGGAAUUCCACAUCAUACACAUCAUUGUCAAGAGGGUGACUGCCUCUUCGAAAAACAGAAUGACACAGUUUUCCCUUUUCCUCAGUUAUGGAAUGUGAAGGCUGGGAAAGUAUGUGGGAAGUCUGGGGUCCCUUUCUCAUAGCACAGAGGAGAUACAGGCUGUUGAGAAGGGUCUAGAAAUGAACAUAGCUGCACAGCUCUAAGACAGUGGGGUCUGAGUGGUUGUCUCAACUCUAAGUCUCCUUUUUCCUACUUAUGGCUACCCCAUCACUGCUCCUUUUCUGGACGCUCUGAUACUUGCUUCACAGAACUGGAAGACUCCAUUGCAGGCAGCCAUCAGCAGGUGAAAGAAUGUUCUAAACCUACAGAAAAAGCAACAAAGAAGCUGAAAGUGAAGAAGGAAAGGAAAACCAGUAAGCCCAGGAAUAACACCAGGCGGCGAGCCCAGAACAUUUUGGACAUUUGUAAAAUAUGUUAGAAACCUCUGAAGGAGACCGACUCAAGAUGGCGCGGUGAGAACAACCCAAGAUUGAAGCUGUCAGUGAAUGUGCGGAGGCCUGUCGUUGCCGAGGCAACCCACAACAGAGAGACUCCGCUGCAGGGCAUAGCUUGUAGCAGGGCGGAGACCACAGCAGCAGGGCAGAGCCUGCAGCAACAGGGCGGACCUUACACCAGCAGGGCAGAGCCUCAGCAGGCAAAUAGUGACUAGACUGCCUCCUAGCUGGGCAGGACAGCGCAAUGGACACUCAUAAAGCAAGCCCCAACCCCCCGAGACAGAGCAACUGUUAAAAAAAAGGGUUUUUUUUUAAUGAGUUCUGCUGCAGCAGAAUUAAAUGUAGCAGCCUAACAGCCCUGAAUGAACAACAGAACUCACAGCUCAGCACUUGACCUCCUAUAAAAUACAGACUGUCUCCUCAAGCAGCUCCCUGACCCCUCUAUAUCCAGAAGACUGACAUUUGGCAGGCAUCAUUCUGGGACAAAGAUAGCAGAAAAAGAAACUGGUAGCAUCCCUCACUGUUCCGCAGCCACUAUAGAUGCAUCCCAGAAAAGCAGGGCCUGGAGUGUACCUCAGCAGUCAUACAGUGGAGGGGUUAGACUGGUAGAAGGAAAACCAAGUAACAGAAAUACUUCAUCAACAAUCUGGGCGUCCACUCAGAGACCCAAUCGAAAAAUCAGCAACUACUCAGAUGAC